AACGAACGCUGGCGGCAUGCCUAACACAUGCAAGUCGAGCGCCCGUAGCAAUACGGGAGCGGCGCACGGGUGAGUAACGCGUGGGAACCUGCCCAGAGGUUCGGGACAACCGCGGGAAACUGCGGCUGAUACCGGAUGAUACCUGAGGGUCAAAGAUUUAUCGCCUUUGGAGGGGCCCGCGUCGGAUUAGGUAGUUGGUGGGGUAACGGCCUACCAAGCCUGUGAUCCGUAACUGGUCUGAGAGGAUGACCAGUCACACUGGGACUGAGACACGGCCCAGACUCCUACGGGAGGCAGCAGUGGGGAGUAUUGGACAAUGGGGGCAACCCUGAUCCAGCAAUGCCGCGUGGGUGAUGAAGGCCUUCGGGUUGUAAAGCCCUUUCGGCGGGGACGAUGAUGACGGUACCCGCAGAAGAAGCCCCGGCUAACUUCGUGCCAGCAGCCGCAGUAACAC
rnacentral:rRNA from 1 species